rnacentral:rRNA from 1 species
GAUAAACGCUGGCGGCGUGCCUAAUGCAUGCAAGUCGCACGGGGUGUCCCUUCGGGGGCAUCGAGUGGCGAACGGGUGAGGAACGCGUGGAGAACCUACCCCGGCGUGGGGGAUACCCGCCAGAAAUGGCGGCUAAUACCGCGUACGGUUGCCGGACGGCAGGUCCGGCAAAGAAAGCAGCGAUGCGCGCUGGGAGGGGUCUGCGCCCGAUUAGCUUGUUGGCGGGGUAACGGCCCGCCAAGGCGGUGAUCGGUAGCUGGUCUGAGAGGAUGAUCAGCCACACGGGGACUGAGACACGGCCCCGACUCCUACGGGAGGCAGCAGCAAGGAAUUUUCCGCAAUGGGGGCAACCCUGACGGAGCAACGCCGCGUGAC